AUUGCAGAACUAUUUUUCAAACUACAUGGGUGGGUUUUUAAAUUGAUUUUAGAAAACAUUGCAAUCUAACCCCAAUGUUGAUCAAUUUGCCUCAUUGGAAGUAUUUCUUGCAACAAACUGAGGUUUUUGACUUAGCCCUCCUUAUUCCCAGAUUGAGCAUGUUGAAUACUAAUCUGUCAGAAAAUAUUUCUCUUAAUUUUGGCUUUCUCUAAAUAUAAGUCUCCCUAAACCUCUACGAGCCCUAAAACACCAACCAUCAGUCGUACCCUCACCGCCAGUCACCAUCAUAAGCUGCCCACCAUCUCUAUCGGCAUCUUACAUCUGCCACCGGAUCUCUUUCCUCGCCACCAUCGAAUAGCCACCGAUCACUCACCUCCAUUACUCCAAUUGUUUCUAGCUGACACCAAAUGGAGCUGUUGGAAUGAAAACGAAUGGAGCUAUAAGAAUGAAAUCGAAGUCAUGAAGAGGAACAAGAACAGGGACGAAAAAUAUGGUGCUUCGUUUUGUUUGAAUUUUCCCCCUGCUUAUUACGAGCUCUAAAUGAAAACUUGUAUUAUUUUGAAUUUCAAUCCAGAUUGUAGGAAUGGGUCAAAUCAGCCACUAGAACAAUUUUGGGUAUGUUUUUUUUUGCUCCUUUCUAUGUAAUGCUUGGAAAGGAACGACAACCCAAAAGCCAUAUGAGGGGUUUGGGAAUACCCAAUAACCAUGUAGUCAUCUGGUAUGGCUUCAGAAGCUUUCUUCAUCUUUUUGUUUCAUUAUCUUUUCCUGAUUUAUUCACCCAUAUCUUACUUGAAAGUUUUUGUGAACACAUGUAACUAAGGGCUCUUUCUUUAUAAAACUUACUUGACUAACAUGAUGUGUAUUAACAAUCUUUUUAGGUGGUUGUUAAGAUCUUUAUUUCUUUUUGCAGAUCUGACCAUAAAUGAUCUAUCGAUGUCCAUCUUUUGAUAAUUUCUUUUUGUCGUUAUGUUAAUAAGGUUUUUAGACCAUUUCAAGGUUAAGGUUCGUAUUAAGCUCAAAAUAAAAAGAUAAAUGGAUGAAAUAAGAUAAUGUAAGGGCAAGAGAAAAGUUUGAUUGCUUAUUUAAUUAUUAAAACUGUUGUAUAAAAUGAGUUGUAAAUAUCCGAAUGUAGGAGAGAUGGUGGUCAAAUGAAGUUGUGUACAUGGUAUGAUGUGAAAUGAAUGUAGGAGUAGAGUAUUUGGACUUUACAACAGGUAAGAGAUCCUCAUAAAGCUUCAAUUUACAGGUUUCAUAGCUCCAACCUUCAAGUUUUGAUUUCAAAAUUUCACCCCUAAAAUGCGUCCACAAUGGUAAGUACCUAAAAUGUUAUUUCAAAAUGGUUUAGGAUCCAAUUUUUCUCGAGUUAUCUGAUUAGUCAACUUAUGCCGGAUAAAUCAGAUGUGCAACAUCAGAUCUAUACCUUUUGUAUUUUAUGUUAGCUUUUAAAUGUCUCAGGCCUAUACUUUUCCUUUCGUGCUGAUUUCAAUAUACAUGUUGAAAUUUGGGUCUGUCAUUGUUUAUGUUGAAACGAAAGUUCACCUGAUUUUUUUGAAUCCGGUAUCUUUUAAAAAAAUAUAUCUUAUCCUUGCAAAUGAUCAACAAUUGUAGUUCCUUGAAGCUUAAUCUUUGAUUUGUGUUUUUAUUUUUUUAGCUUAUUUGGGAAAACUUUCUAAUAGACUUUGUAUUGUGAUUGAAAAUGAUUAAAAAAUCAUAGUUCGAAUAUCCUCCCAUUGGAUACUCACCAUACAAUCUUCCAAAACUAUGGUUCGGUUGUUCAAGCGGGGAUCAAAUGUCAUGCCUAUGGACUUUAAUCCCCAAUAACCUCUUAGGUUUAUUCCAUAUCUACUUACUUCCACCCCUAAAUAAUGUUUGACCUCAUUCGUUUGAUACUUUUUCUCAUGAUCUUAAAUUUAUCUUAAGAGCAAAAUGCAAGAAAUGGCAACAUACUUUCAUUUAUAUGUUUAUUAUAACAUCCUACUUCUAUUUUCAUUCUACUAUAAAACUUUUAGCACCUAGCAAUAGAGACUAUGAUUCCUUCAUGUCCUAUUCAAGUGACAAUAUGGUAUGAGUUUGGUUUUGAGUUUUUGUUUCCUGGGAUUAUAUGGUUGUUUACAUUUAUUCAGAUCUGAAUUUUAUAGUUUUCAGACAGUUCUUUGCUUCAACAGUUUCUCAUAGAAGAUUGGCUUCUUUGGUUGGCUUACUCACAAAUUGCCAACCCCUAGGAUAUAUUAUGAUUGAAUGAUUAGCUCCCAUUGCAGAUUGUGUUUUGCACCAUUGGUUCAAAUUAAAGUCUAUAUGAUCAUUAGGUUGUGAGUUUGAGAGAUACAUGUAUGUUGCUAGAGGUUACUUUCUUGAUACACACGAGCCUGAAUAUGUUGAAAAGAGCAUGCAAGUAUAGUUACAAUCUAAUAACAAAAAUAUUCAUUAUAGUUUCAUCCUUACAUGUAUAGACACUUUAAAUAAUAAAAGCUCAAUUGUGAUA